GUCUUGAAGGGCGAAGAUUUCGGUGAGAUCCCAGUCGUAGCGAUCGGCCCAGAGAGGACCACCGCCCUUGCCCUCGACGAGUUGCGCGGUGACGC
rnacentral:sRNA from 1 species